rnacentral:rRNA from 1 species
AAUGAACGCUGGCGGCGUGCUUAACACAUGCAAGUCGAGCGAAGCACUUAAGUUUGAUUCUUCGGAUGAAGACUUUUGUGACUGAGCGGCGGACGGGUGAGUAACGCGUGGGUAACCUGCCUCAUACAGGGGGAUAACAGUUAGAAAUGACUGCUAAUACCGCAUAAGACCACAGUACCGCAUGGUACAGUGGUAAAAACUCCGGUGGUAUGAGAUGGACCCGCGUCUGAUUAGGUAGUUGGUGGGGUAACGGCCUACCAAGCCGACGAUCAGUAGCCGACCUGAGAGGGUGACCGGCCACAUUGGGACUGAGACACGGCCCAGACUCCUACGGGAGGCAGCAGUGGGGAAUAUUGCACAUGGAGGAAACUCUGAUGCAGCGACGCCGCGCGAAGGAUGAAGUAUUUCGGUAUGUAAACUUCUAUCAGCGGGGAAGAAAAUGACGGUACCUGACUAAGAAGCCCCGGCUAACUACGUGCCAGCAGCCGCCGUAA